GCUUCACUGAUAUUUCAUGAAAAUUCCGUACCACGCAAAUUUCUGACUGAAAUCAUAGUACCCUCUGCGAGGGUAUAACAAGUGAUUGUAGUAUAAGAAGGUAUGGUAAGCGGAUCCGAGUUCAGUUCCAAAACCGAAAUCAAGAUGAAAAUACUGAUUAUCCUGUUUCUCCUGGUGAUCGCAGUUUUAGUUCGAUCUGAAGGUUCUCAUAAUGAAGGUCCGUGCGCCACUAGUGAUUGCAGUCCCUUCCCAAAAGGAUAAAAAUAUUUGAUUGAACUAAAAUUACUUUGAUACUAAUCUCAAAAAUGAAAAAUGCUUAAGUUUGUAUUUGUUAAAGUAAUUAUUGAAUGUGUACUCAUUCGUAUACAUUAAAACAAUGUUAACGUUUCCGAAGCAUAUAUAAAAUUAAAAAAAAUAUAUAUUGUUUGAAAACUCGGGUAUUGUUACUACAGAAUGUCAAAUCAUUUAAAGGGGACCAAUAUACUGUGACGACUUCAUGUAAAAAUAAAAAUGUUUAAUUCUUCCUUA